CCAGGAUCCAACCUUCAGAGGACUCCAGAGAACAUUCAACGCUGUCGGUGAGUUUGGGAUUUGAAAAAAAAAAAACCACUGACCGUUGACUGUACCUUGAGGUCCUUA
rnacentral:pre_miRNA from 1 species